CCUACGGGAGGCAGCAGUGGGGAAUUUUGGACAAUGGGGGCAACCCUGAUCCAGCCAUUCCGCGUGAGUGAAGAAGGCCUUCGGGUUGUAAAGCUCUUUCGCAAGGGAAGAAAACUUAUGAUCGAAUAAAUCAUGAGGUUGACGGUACCUUGAUAAGAAACACCGGCUAACUACGUGCCAGCAGCCGCGGUAAUACGUAGGGUGCGAGCGUUAAUCGGAAUUACUGGGCGUAAAGCGUGCGCAGGCGGUUUUGUAAGUCGGAUGUGAAAUCCCCGGGCUCAACCUGGGAACUGCGUUCGAAACUGCAAGGCUAGAGUGUGUCAGAGGGGGGUAGAAUUCCACGUGUAGCAGUGAAAUGCGUAGAGAUGUGGAGGAAUACCAAUGGCGAAGGCAGCCCCCUGGGAUAACACUGACGCUCAUGCACGAAAGCGUGGGGAGCAAACAGGAUUAGAUACCCUGGUAGUCCACGCCCUAAACGAUGUCAACUAGUUGUUGGUAGAGUAAAAUCUAUGAGUAACGUAGCUAACGCGUGAAGUUGACCGCCUGGGGAUACGGUCGCAAGAUUAAAACUUAAGGAAUUGACGGNNGAGAGNGCGAGACGACGACGAGGAGAG
rnacentral:rRNA from 1 species